GCUCCAGACAAAAACAGUGCUGUGGUAACAGCCUCGCGAUGGUGCUCCAAUUGUUGUUUUGUGUAUUGUUAUAUUUUGUGUGAUUUAUUGUAUGUCAUAACUGUACUGGUGCUGUAGCCUAGCCCUCUAGGAUGUACUAUGUAUCUGCCCAGAUGGUGUGCUUCAGUGUCUUGGUGUGUAUACACAACAGGGACAUUGUUCAUUUGUAAUGCAGGACUAUGAAUGGAUUUCAGAUGUCACUUAGUCACGGCUGUUCUAGGAGCUUCGGAGUGGAGAGGGAGGGAGGGAGUGAGGGAGAGAGGAAGGACGAAGAGGGGAGAGAGCUGCUCAGCAACACACAGAGACUGAGGUGGAGUGAGAGAAACAGAGAGACAGUGGUAUUGGGAAAAAGUGAAAACCUGGAUUAUUAAAAAAAAAAACGGACAUGGGAAUUUUCCUCAGAUAUUGCUGGACAGUAUAAUGAUGUUGAUCAAGACCUUCAGACUUCAUUUGAGGAGCAUCUUGAAGACAUGGACAAGAAAUAGAAAAGGAUUUCUUUGCAGUCUUUAAAUCCUCAUCCGUUCCUGUGGCAAGAAGAGAAGCGGGGCAUCUGAUCUGACAACCAACUAGUGGACACAGAAGGAAGUGGAGAAAAGGACCAAAAAAAGAGAGGGAGUGGAAUAGAGGGAAUGAUGGAUGGAUACGCUUAAUGACUCAGAGAAAGAGAUAUAAGGAAAACCAUGGGUGACACAGAAGACCAGAGGACAGCUAGACACGCAACCUGAGCCACCCGUCCCCUCCCACCCCCCACGGAUGAGUCUCUGCAACCCCCCCCCCCCCUUUCUUUUCACUAUCUCUUCUGCUGCCAGUUCUGCAGCUUCUUGAAGAUCUCUUUUUUUCUUUUCUUAUCUCACAGUCCUCCUCUCAUCCAGUCCGAUUAUCAUUGGCUUGAUGUCUGCUAUGGCUACAUUCUCAUUUCUUUGUGUCAGUAUGGAAAAUGCCUCCUCUUUAAAUACAGCUCUAUCCAGCAGCAGAUUGUAUUUUUCUCAUUUUAAGAAACAAAAAUAUGUAAAUAAUUAAUCAUUUUGGUGAUGGGAAGACUGUCCAUGGGUCAACAGAAAGUGCAAAGGGAAAGAUUGUUUUGUUAAGUCUUUCAUGUAGAACAGACAUUGAGCUAACAUACCUCUGGGAAAGAAGAUGGAACUUUACCUGUGAAGCAGAGGAAAAACAUUGCCCACAGCCUCAAUACAGGGACAUUUGAAAUCUAGUUCUAACAGCAAGAAUUCAUAUUAAAUAUUAAUAGUGACAGGCAUGUAGGAAAAGCAUGCAUCAAUGUUCCACGACGAGCAAAGUGGAAACAAAACCACUUGACACCUGAUGAGAGGCUCAGAACACAGACCAAGAGCCCCUGAUGGAGAUCUAGGUUUUGACGAUUGAACUGACAACAGUCAGACAAUAUACAGAGCCAGGUUCAGGGCGUCCCUAUCAUUGAGAAGUCAAGGCAGGACGAACCAGUCUGUGUUUCAGCAGGACGUUUGCACUACUUUCAACAGCGAGAGACCUGGACCAGGAAGACAGCAGUGAGCUGGGGGAUAGGGAGGGGGCGGAGCUUUGCCAGAAACUAGAGACAUGGAGAGGACACUGGAAUAGCAAAACAGUGGCAUAUUGGCUACCCCCCAGGCGCAAUGUGUGGUGUACCACCCUGUGGGGGUGGGGCUCACUGAUGGUGAACAUGGUCCCCCCCGGCCGGCAUGUCUGCCACUUCCACGCCGAGGACCCGGUGGAUGACAGGGAGGAGCGCGUCCUGGCCGUGCUGGGGAUCAUUGGGACUGUGCUCAACCUGCUGGUGGUGAUCUUUGUCUACAUUUACACCACCAUUUGACAACCCCCACCACGGUCCGAGCGGCUCAGGGCCAUGGUCCAGGUUGACACGUAGGCUCCUCACCGAGGCGGAGGGCCACACAUGCAGCGACAGGGACAGAACAGUGGUGGACCCAGACGGAGGAGAGAUCCAAGCAGCUUGACCAUAACAUCAGCCAUUAGAUAUUUUGGUUCAGGAGAGUGAGGAGGAGUCAGCAUGUUCACGUACAGCUAUUUUGAUAUCAGCAACAUGGGAAACUUUCCUAGUUCUUCAGUGAGAAUAUUCCUCUUCUGUAAAGACCCUCGCUUUCUCUUGUAUAUUCUUUGUAGAUGUUUAGAUUAGUGCUCCCUGUUUAUAUUAUUCAUUCAGCAGCCACAUAUUCAUUGGAUAGCCACGUUUACUGAAUGCUCCAUUGUCUGCCAUUUUGUUAUGAAUCUACACUUUAAUACGGUUCGCCAGUGUUACUAUUUUGUAAAGAAGCAUAGAUAUCAUGCGUGUUGAAAAGGAGACAGAGGAUCUGAUCCUGUUCAAAAUGUUUUUGUCCCCUGGAGCACAUUCCAAUGUUCAAGGACAUUUCCUUCACCUUCUCAUAGUAAAAAUUAGACGCCAUUCACUGAGGCACCAAAAUAACUGCGAUGUACAAAGAGCCGGCCUGAAUAUUCACUUCAUCCUCAACAUACUAUUUUCUACUAACAAGCUCAAACCUGAGAAGACAUGACAAGAUCAUUUAUUUUGGGUUUAAUUGUUUCAAACGCCUGUUUAAAAAAAAAAACAUGUUUGCACAUGUUUAUCUUGUGUGAUUAUCAGUGUUGGCUACAAUUGUAAUCGAAGGAGACACGUUAGCAUCAGCAUACUCAAUUUAGGAUUAUUUUAUUUACUAACCUUCAUGUAUGACUGUGAUUUCUUUGAAUCUCUCUUUGGAAUGUAAUGUGCUUCCACAGACCCGCACUGCAUUUGAGAUUACAAUGGAGCAGACAUAACUACUCAAUUGAAAAUUGGAGUGUGGGUUGUCACUGACUGCACCAAUUACAGCAAAAAUAUUGGGCUUCCAUUGACAUUUGAUGUCAGCGUAUUUAGCCAGAAAGUUAUUAGUUAUAGCUUUGGGGAAACAAUCUAUUAAUUUCAAUCGUAAACGUUUACAGCGUAGGUUUUUUAAAUGUAUUUUUAUUUCAUAAAUUGCACCAAUCGCUAACCUGCUGCAAAAUGACAUCUCCUGACAUUUUCCAGGGCUUCCAGAAGAGUUCAUUACUUGAACAAACACCAACCUACGGUCCUCACCUUAAUGACAAAACACUUGCCUUACUGAUGUCCCCGAAGACUUGGGUUAGCUGUAAGGCUUGAACAGUGUAUCAAGGUAGACCAGGGUGGCCACAGUAAAAUCAGUCAAAAAUCUAUGGGGUUAAAUACCAGUUGCAACAGCUCAAUUCUGAUUCCGCUUAGGCGCUUGCAUUCUAGAAUCCUCAAAUCUGCUGAAUUCUUCAGGAACUCUAAAAAUGGCACAGGGAUUUCAACCAUCACACGGCAUGGCUAUUGGUUCCCUACAGAUAUAAUGUACAGUGGAGAGAACAAGUAUAUGAUACACUGCCGAUUUUGCAGGUUUUCCUACUUAAAAAGCAUAUA